GAUCAACAAAAACCAAAACUUUCAAAUAUUACUAAUCCAACUGUCCCAAUAAUCAUGUCUUUCAACAAAUAAGACAAUACAUGUUAACUGUGAAUUUUAAAUAAAUUCUAGUAACAAGUAAUUUCACUUGCAAGUAAAAGGUUCAAAUUUUCUUUUGUUCCUAUCUGUCGAAUCCUUUUGUUUGUCUUGUAGCAAAGGCUCUCUCUUGGCUCUGGUGCUUCUUUGGGUUUCCAUAUUUGAGAGGUACAAUUUGCUCAAUGUACGAUUUUUCAGGAAAGUGUCUCUUAUCUUUCUGAAGUUUUUGCAGUUGUGGCAACCAGUAUGCAACAUAUUCGCCUUCAUGAUCAUAGGUUUGUGCCUAGAAAAUUAUAAAACCAUCAUCUUUGGCACAACUGAUUUAACAUAUCAUUCCACAGCCAGCUCAGUAACUUUCAUAGCAUAUGUAUAUAUAAAGGGAAUUCUAAACUACAUCAUCUUCCUUUUUGGAUAUGUUGAAAACGCUCGGAUCCUUUCUAAUUAUCUCUAAAUAUCUAGGCCAUGUUUUGCCCUAGUAAAUGGAGAUAGGAUAUAAUUCUUGAAAAAUGAUUCUAUUUUGUUGUUUGGUGUACAAGAAAUCUAACCUUUUUAGACUUCAACUAUAAUUUCUACAAUUACUGUUAGAUUAUAUUUUAUAGUUUUAAAAACAAAAUUGGUUGGGAUUCUCAAAAUAAGAAAUCUAGAUGACACCAGUUUCCAUUUCUAUUUCAUUUCCAUAAAUUAACUAAACAUGAUAUUAUUAUCAUUACAGGAAAAAUAUAUGGAAAGUGCACUUACUUGCUUUGGAAUGCUGAAAUAACGAUCUUCCCUAGGGUCAUUUCCAAUUCCUUCAGAGAAGAACCGAGGAUAAGUAUUUAAUUCACAAAAAUAAAAUAAGAGUACUCCUAGCAUGUUUGUUUGCUGAUGCACUCUCUUACACAAGUUGACUUAACCAAAUAUUGAUAAAUUCCAUAAAUGUAUACAGAAAAAAAAAAUGCCUUACCUGCACCAUAGGUCCAAUUCCCAUAAUUGGAACAGGGGUCAUAAUCCAAGAGGCAUGUCUCAAACCAUUCAGCUCCCAUACGCCAGUCAAUGCCCAUAUCUCGAACAAGAAAGGAACACACGAUCUGUAAAAAUAAAAACCACUCAUUUUCAUGUUCAAGACUUGUUUAUUUCUUUGCAAGAGUGCAAGAAGAUAAUCUGUAGAUUAAGGUUAAUUGUAUUAACAACCACACACAUUUAAAUAAGCGGGGCUUUGACAACAAAUGGAGUUGUCAUCUUGUUAGUGUCCCAACUGAAAUAACUAAGGAUGUGCCAAAAUAUAAUCAUUAGCUUAUUACCUGUCGUCCUCGAUUUGACAUAAAUCCGGUGGUAAAAAGUUCCUUCAUGUUUGCAUCUAUGAGAGGGUACCUAGAAAUUUGCAAGUAUACAUGAGAAUAGAAGCAAUGCAACUUUAUUUAAGGUGCACUGCAAACUUCUUAAGAAAACAAGUUCAAUGUAUUCUUAUUGUGCAAUGCUUGAACUAAUCAUGUCCAGCCAUGGCAAAAGAAGGAAGGAAAGUAGCAAAAGGAAAAAUGUAAAUGCAAAUGGUCUAGUUAGACAACCAAGACUAGCAAGUUUCAAUGGGAAAAAAAAAAAUAAAUCUUUUUGUUUUCAUUGAUAAGAACAGUAAAGUUUUAGUAGAUUUGAAGUUUUUCAUCAUGGUGAUUGAAUGCUCUCAUGAGCCAAAAGAUUAAAAUGCUUGUAAGAAAGGGCGAUGCUUCACAAAAAUUCUAGAAUCAAACAACAUACCCUGUACACCCAUCUCUCCAAGAUUCAAACAACCUCUGGUCUUGACUCCAUCUUCUUUCCACUUUCCGUGGGCCACCUAAAAACAGAAAUUGACAAGACAACAUGAUGAAAAUUCCAUGUAACAUGUAUUCCUUCUUACAGUUUCUAUUUAGUUCUAAUGCUAUUCACAUACUUUCAAUGUUCUACUCUAAAACUAUCCUUUCAAUUUUCCUUUGUUUUUGAAUUCUUAGGAUAGAUUGGAUACUAGAGAAAAUCUUUACCUAAAUGGAAAAUUGAAUUUCCAUAUUUGGUUGAGAGAAACCUGAAGUAAUCCCUCCAAAUCAAUUCAAACAAAACCCUGAAAUGGCAUAUUGAAAUUCAGGUAAAGACAUCAAAACACUAACGGAAAGACACACUGUUUGUCACUUUAAGAGAGGGAGAGAGGUAGAGACCAGUAUGUGGAAUCAUUUGCUUGCCUUUCCUUUUCAUAUCUAAUUACCUAUAGCAAUUAAUAAAAAUACCUUCCAUGAAUCAAUUUGAUCAUUCACUAUUUAUUGAAGAUUAAAAACUGCCACUGCAAAAGGGAUUAAUUGUUGACCUCUUCACAGAUGAAACGAGGAGAAAGGCUUCCUGAAGCAAGCCAUGGAGAGAAUUUCGUUGAGUAAUCAGGUCCCAGCAUCCCAUUUCUAGUCUCCUUAUAUAUCUUCAGCAAAUCCUGUUUGUGUAAGCGUGAGAGCAAAAAUUACGAAGAUGAUUGAGUCUGAGACAGUUGACGCUCUUGUUCAGUAUUACAGACUCUGCACGUAAAAAUUCCAAAAUAUAUUCUACCUAAACUAAAAGUUCUACAACUUGACGAGGAUUAGUGGUUGCUUAAUUUAAUUAUUUACAAUCAAGUAUAGUUUAGGAUGCAACAACUUCAAGAAGGAAUAAAAAUAUAAGACAAUAUGGACAAUAUCAUUUCCUUAAGAAUAUGUUGUUUCAAAUAUUGAAUUCUCAAGAAGAGCCAGAGUUAUUGGUUUGAAAUUUUAUAUUCAUGCAAAUGUAAUUAUUAUCAUCAAUCUUGAAGUUAUCAAUUUGUUUGCUACAACAUUUAACACUUGAACAUAAUAGACUUUCAGCUGUGUCAAUACAACAGUCCCUUUGCAAUUCUAACAAAGAAAUAGUAGUAGAUAUACAUAGAUACAGAGAGGAAAUCCACUUGCCUUCUUCCAGAAGUACUCAAAAACCCUACAUAAUGCAGCACUUUCACCUCCCAGAAAGUUCAUUCCUUUGUUAACCUUUUGUGAUUGAAGUCCAAGCUGAUCAAUUGAUGGAACACAACCCCAAUCUUCAACGCUAGGCGGUGGUGCAAGAGAUGUUGGAAUUUUAAAACAGCAUCGGAUGGUACAUUUUGCUUCAACAGAGAAACUGAGUAUACACAUCAGGUAUGGUGUUGGUAGAAAAAGGGAGGUCAUCCAUGUGGUACAUAGUGCUGCCCCAAACAAGUUGUAGCUUAGGAUUGUUUGUAGAGCACUGGCCAGUGGAUUUCUCUGGAAAAGGUGCUAACUUUACUUGCAGCAGUGCUUUAUUGACUAAUCUCUCGACAUUUACCUCUUCACUGCAUGUUUCUUUUUGCGCAUAUACCUGGCUAGAUUAGAUUGAGAUACCCAAACAUCUUAUUGCUUCGAUGCCCAGAAAAUCAGGAUAAUUAUAUUCCUUGAUAUUUUAUAGAGAGUAUUUUAUAAGAACAACAGCAAGGAAAACACUUAACUGUGUGGGCUGCAAAAGCUUGAACAAGAGAAGGGAUGAUUUCCUCAGGUUUGCCAUGUCGAAUUAGCAGGUUGAGUCCCCUCUUCAUCAAAUUUUUCUUCAAGUCAGCCAAACACUCGAUAAUAAAUUGAGCUCUCAAAGCUGGUCAAAGCAGAAGAGAGAAGAAACUUUACAAUCACCUGAUCAACUUCCUCAUCUUCAAUUAAAAUCCAAUGAAAAAGGUACUUUGCACAUUUUUCGACGAUAAUAAAACCACAAUCAUUGGAACAAGAACAAAAUUGGCAUGGAUAAUACCUCCAGUUUUAGGGAAGCCAAAAUAGUAAGUAUUUCCAAAAAGUCGAGGAUCCACACAAUACACAGGCAAAACGGUCUCGGAAGAAGCCCAAGCCUUGAACAAAGCCUCAUUGUCCAGUAUUCUUAGAUCGUUCCUGAACCAAACAAUGGCAGUCCCUUUACCUUUCCUGUUGACCGUGUUCGACGAGUAUCUGUCAAAGGUCUGGUCUGCAACGCGGCACAUUUGAUCGGAUUCCAGAGCUGGAACUUGGUAGGUGAGGGUAGAAGAAGAGCUUGAAGUGGGAUUCAUGAUUUGGGAGCCAAUAGAGAGCUUUGCGUGGGCGGUUGAUAUUGGAUGUAUGAACACUGAAAGGGAUUUUGAUGGCUGGAUUAGUUUCUUCAGGGGAAGUGAAGACAGCGAAGGAAACAGGAUGGUCAUGUGUACGCAUAUAGUUUGGAUUUUGGAGAGAAAGGAGAAGAGGGAGACACAGGAUGUGGACAGUCAUCCGGUUGCCACGUGGCUUUUUCUUGUUGCUUAUGACGUGGCUCCAUAUCAGCCUAUAAAGUCGGAUUGGGUUCAACGAGUCCAGUUGAGCUGAGCUAAAUUUGGGUGGGCUUACAACACUGAAAUUACUAUGUUUUACACGGCGCCGUAUUGUUCACAUUACCGAUUAUUGCACGUUCUCGCGUUUUGUCCUUUAUAAUCGCCCACCUGGGCUUGUCUUCCUUCCAGAGAGGUCGGUUCUCGAACCUACCACAACCAAGGGGAGAAAAGAAAAUUCCAGGUGACUUUGACUAUUUUUCGGUGGUCGACGGUGAGAUGUCGGCAUAUGAAAACGUUGUUGGCGGGAAGCUGAGGUUGAAGGGACAGCCACUAGAUGUGAAAACAGUUGGCAUUUCUAAGACGAAAAAGAAAAAGCAUCAUUAUCAUGAUCGACCCAGAACAGGUGGAAACAACUCAUCAUCAAAAGAUCAUGGUGAGAAUAUAAAUGAUGAGACAGACAAAGAUGACAAAAAGGGUCAGGCUGCCAAGUACGAUGACCAUAUUACAGCAGCUGAGAGGCGUUAUCUUCAACAGUGGGAGAAAAUUGAUCUCCAAAGACUUACUAAGAUGGCCAGUAAAUCACACCGUGAUCAGAUUCAAGAAUUCAACCAAUAUCUGGCUAAGCUAAGUGAGCAUUAUGACAUUCCUAAAGUGGGGCCUGGUUAGUUAGUUUGUUUGAUUGGUCAGUCGAAUUGAAUUUUGAUUGCAAUUGUAUUGUGGAAUUGCAAACAUGUUUUCCUAUUCAAUUGAAAUGGUGUGAUUCCUAUUCUAAAAAUGAGGUCCUAGAGAUGACCGUUGAAGAACUUACAUAUUUUAAUCAUCUGAAAUGGUUGGACUUAAAAUUUUAUAUGAGGUACUUUCCUUGAUAUUUGGCAAGUCAGAUUGUAAUUUCAUGGAUGUCUUUGGAUGGUAGAUGAAAUUUUCUGGAAUAUGUUUGAAGAGGCAGCUGUUAUGUGAUUGGUGACUUCUACUUUGCA
rnacentral:misc_RNA from 1 species